rnacentral:rRNA from 1 species
AACGUAGGUUCCGAGCGUUAUCCGGAUUUACUGGGCGUAAAGCGCGUUCAGGCGGUUUGGCAAAUCGGGCAUGAAAUCUCUGGGCUCAACCCGGAGAGGUUGUCCGAUACUGCUAAACUGGAGGGCAGUAGAGGGUGGUGGAAUUCCGGGUGUAGUGGUGAAAUGCGUAGAGAUCCGGAGGAACACCAGUGGCGAAAGCGGCCACCUGGACUGUACCUGACGCUGAAACGCGAAAGCUAGGGGAGCGAACGGG